rnacentral:rRNA from 1 species
AUUGAACGCUGGCGUCAGGCCUAACACAUGCAAGUCGAACGAGUGGCGGACGGGUUAGUAAUGUCUGGGCAACUGCCCGAUGGAGGGGGAUAACUACUGGAAACGGUAGCUAAUACCGCAUACCAUCGUAUGUGCCCAGAUGGGAUUAGCUAGUAGGUGGGGUAACGGCUCACCUAGGCUACGAUCCCUAGCUGGUCUGAGAGGAUGACCAGCCACACUGGAACUGAGACACGGCCCAGACUCCUACGGGAGGCAGCAGUGGGUAAUAUUGCGCAAUGGGGGCAACCCUGACGCAGCCAUGCCGCGUGAAUGAAGAAGGCCUUCGGGUUGUAAAGUUCUUUCGGUAGCGAGGCGUUAACUACAGAAGAAGCACCGGCUAACUCCGUGCCAGCCGCCGCGGUAAUUC